UUGGAUAUGUAGUCCCUGGCCAAUCUGGAGGUGCUGGUAGCUCGUCUUCUCAAGGUGGUAGCUGCUGCAGCUAAUCUGUUAACGCCCUUAUGUACAAAGGCAUAUCCGUCGUGUGUCACAUACCAGCUGCUUUAAAUUCCUGUUUCUGAACGUAAAAUGGUUACUGCUCCAGGGUGCUUUGUUAUUUGACGCACCAAUGGAUUCUGUGCCUGAACGAUUUAAGAGAUUCAGUUUAUUUAUGUCAGGUGUUUAUAAACUCUCUGUAAAAAAUCACUAGAUUCUUUACUGUUUUCCGUCAUUUAGCAUUCACGAAUUCUGUCCGUCUGCAUGUGUAAAUGUAAAUAACAUACCUCGAUGCAUUGUUUGGUGUGAAAAUUAAUUUGUCUUAUUCGACUAUACUGUAUGUUGGUACUCCAUGUUUCAGAAAAUAUACGCGUCUCCGAUACUAUGCAUGAGCUUAUCAAACUAUGAUCGGGACAAAUACUGAACAGUGAAAUACUCUGCUUCCAGAGGGACAGAGCUUCCGUUUAGGAUUGUCUAUGACCCGUCCAAUUACUGGAUAGUCAAAUACCGUCUGUUUCAAUUAUAAGUCGUUUUUACUUUUUCUUUUUUUUUGACACGUCUACUUUAAAGUAUAAUAAGUUGCUUCAACUUUUUAUGCUAUAUAUAUCUGCUGCAUCAUGUAUCUAGAUAUAAUAUAAUAAAAUUAAUGUACCAAAAAAUCAAAAUGUCUUAUAAUUUGAUUGAAACUGAGGGAGUGCUCUCCUUUAAGGAGAGAACUUCCGUUUAGGAUUUUGGUAGCUUUUCUGCGUAAUAGGUUAGGGGGUGUUUAGUAAAAAAUAAUGCAAAAUGCAAAAUACCAACUAUUGGAAUGAUGGAAUAUAAAAUGCUAAAAUUUCUAGGAUCAUGUUUAGUUCCAUCUAAAAUGCAGAAUUUAUUGCCCUAGGGCCUUUUGAGACUCUUUUGGGCUUUUUCUUGGCCUCUUGAGCCCAAAAUCUAAAAUGAAAAUAACUACCUUUUGCUAAAAUUUUUUUGCAUUAUAUUUAGUUUAAUUUUGCAAAAUAAUGAACUCAAACCCAAAUUUUUUUGAAUACAAGGGGACUAAACACCCCCCUAAUAUAUAUAGUUUUGCCUGUAAGUGUGCUUCGAUGAUUGCAUCUUGCUGGCUUUGUAGUUAAAAUCACAAGGGUCGUCCAGCCGAGAGAAAGAAAAGAAGCAAAAGAAAGAAAACAAAAGAAAUAAGAAGUGAAAAAAACGAAGGCAUCUAGCCGAGAAAAAGAAAGAAGGGGAAAAAAAUAAAUAGUAAAAAGUAGAGAGAGAGAGAGAAAAAAGAAAGAAAGGGAAACAAGGUUUGCAGGUAUUGCAUCGGCCUUACUCUAGUUUAAAAUCACAAAGGCUCCCCCCCUCCACACACACACACACACAGAGAGAGAGAGAGAGAGAGAGGUAAAUAAAAGAAAAGAAAGAAAAUAGGUUGGCAGGUAUUUGAGGUAGGGCUUGUAGUAAAAGUUUUAUCGUCAGACGAAGAAGCGCCAACAAAUCAGUUGGCGAAUACUACUACAGCAGUUCAUAUAGUUUUGCCAAGAUACAUCCAAUGCCUUUUUGAAACUAAGGUACAUCCAGUUAAGCAGACAAACAACGAUGAAGAGUUGAUGCCAAAACCAUCAUGGAAUCGGUUGCCAAACGAACAAGGCGAUGGCUGAAAUUACUGUUGACUAAUUUAUUUUGAGAUAAAAACACUGCUGUCUAAAAAAGUCUACUACACUUACAUACACUAUACACCAAGCAACAGAAACUUACAAGUAAUUUACUGCUACUCUGCUGCCUCCACGGAGGAGGUUGCACGCCUGCAGCGGCGGCCAGCGCAGACCAAGAUCCCCAGGUGGCUCAGUCAGUUAAUUAGUCAGUUGGUACCUGGCUGUUGUGUUGCAGUCGAAGCAGGUGUGGUUGCGGCCGAGGUCCUUGAUCCUGUCGUAGCCGUGCCUGAAGAUGCCGAGGCCGAAGAGGACGCCGACGAGGAGGCAGAUCACCAGGAUCACCAGCAGGUAGCACCCCACAUGCUCCUUGCUGAACUUGAGCUUGCACAUGGCGUCUCUCUGGACUGACUACCUGACUGUUAUGUUAGGGAGAUGAUCCCAGUCGCGAGGGUAACCGGUUCUUAUUCGCUAGGCAAGUGUCGCUAUACGCCCCCUGUCCGUUCAAUUCGGCGGUAUGGCGACGGUAUCGCUUACAGGUGAAGCUACAGGCUACAGCGAGGGGGCAGAGCUGUGAGGUACUCCUAUCAGCGACCCUAGUGACGAGCCUUUUGCCUUUGUGCCAUGCCAAGAAUAAUAAAUGAAGAAUCUGAUCGCCGCGGACUGUAUGGACUAUAACCCACGACACAUGGACAUGGCUCUCUUUUUCUACGACUGUACGAAUAAUUUGUAAAGCCAGGAGAAGGCACAGAC
rnacentral:lncRNA from 1 species